GUGCCUUAAACUAAUGAGUAAGGAAAAUAUAGAGCCUUGUUCACUCUGGGUACAGCUACCAAGUUAUAUAUUUAUAAAUAUUCUCUACUCACAUGUAACGUGGGCGGUGUGGGAGGUAUG
rnacentral:snRNA from 1 species